CUAGUGAGUGUGUGUAUGUCUGCUAGUGUGUGUGUGGAUGUCUGUUAGUGUGUAUGUUAGUGUGUGUAUGUAUGUUAGUGUGUGUAUGUUAGUGUGUGUGUGUGUGUCUGUUAGUGUGUGUAUGUUAGUGUGUGUGUGUGGAUGUGUGUGUGUGUGGAUGUUAGUGUGUGUAUGUUAGUGUGUGUGUGUGGAUGUCUGUUAGUGUGUGUAUGUUAGUGUGUGUCUGUUAGUGUGUGUAUGUUAGUGUUAGUGUGUGUGUCUGUUAGUGUGUGUAUGUUAGUGUUAGUGUGUAUGUUAAUGUUAGUGUAUGUAUGUUAGUGUUAGUGUGUGUGUGUCUGUUAGUGUGGAUGUCUGUUAGUGUGGAUGUCUGUUAGUGUGUG